CGUGGGUGCCUGGCCCCGGGCCCCGCUCCCCUCCCCGCCUUGCCCCUCGAAUGGUCCCUGCGCGGACACACCUCACCCAGCAGCUAACCUGCUCCAGCGUUUCCCCGUAGCCGGGAGCCGGGGCCCCCUGUACACCUGUGGUAUUUUCCAGAAGGGGUGUUGGGGCCUGACCUUUCCCAGAUAGCUCUUACAAGGAGCCAAACGGCUGGGAAGCCGAGUUUUUCGUUGCACGCUCACACUCCUCACCUUCUGCUCGUUCCGUCGUGCAUCUGGAGCAAUCUGAGCUUGAUUACAGAGGAUGAAGAAAAGUAUAAUCAAAGUUAGAGACUAAACCUGAAGUUGUAAUCAGACCUCGAGGAUCAGGAAUACAAAUACGCUUCCCAGUGGAGACACCGCUAGCUGCGAGGGUGGGAUUGCACGUGGGCCGAUGCGUUCCAUCAAGCCCUGGGCUGCGGAGCCCGAAACUCAAAUAAUCCAUCACUCAAGGACAAUUAGAAAAGCCAGACAAAAUAUUUGAUUGAUUUGGUUUGAAGGCAUCAGAAAGCUACCAAGACAGC